rnacentral:rRNA from 1 species
CCUACGGGAGGCAGCAGUGAGGAAUAUUUGUCAAUGGACGAGAGUCUGAACCAGCCAAGUAGCGUGAAGGAUGAAUGCCCUAUGGGUUGUAAACUUCUUUUAUAUGGGAAUAAAACGUUCCAAGUGUGGGAUUUUGUAUGUACCAUAUGAAUAAGGAUCGGCUAACUCCGUGCCAGAAGCCGCGGUAAUCCGGAGGAUCCGAGCGUUAUGCGGUGUUAUGGGGUUUAAAGGGAGCGUAGGUGGAUUGUGAAGUCAGUGGUGAAAGUUUGGGGCUCAACCGUGAAAUUGUAGUUGAAACUGGCAGUCUCGAGUACAGUAGAGGUGGGCGGAAUUCGUGGUGUAGCGGUGAAAUGCGUAGAUAUUACGAAGAACUCCGAUUGCGAAGGCAGUUCACUGGACUGCAACUGACACUGAGGCUCGAAAGUGUAGGUAUCAAACAGGAUUAGAUACCCGGGUAGUC